CGCGGGGUGGAGCAGUCUGGUAGCUCGUCGGGCUCAUAACCCGAAGGUCAUCGGUUCAAAUCCGGUCCCCGCUA
rnacentral:tRNA from 1 species